CCGCCGGCGGGAGGGGGGGGUCCGGGGUUGGGGGGGGGCUGUCGGGUGUUUGGGUCCCACCUCGGGUCUCUCCGCAGGUCCCCGCCGACAUGUUCUUCACGUGUGGCCCCAAUGAGGCCAUGGUGGUGUCAGGUUUCUGUCGCAGCCCCCCCGUGAUGGUGGCCGGGGGACGGGUGCUGGUGGUCCCGUGUCUGCAGCAGAUCCAGCGGAUCUCCCUCAACACCCUGACCCUCAACGUCCGCAGUGAGAAGGUGUACACCCGGCACGGCGUCCCCAUCUCCGUCACCGGUAUCGCCCAGGUGAAGAUCCAGGGGCAGAACAAGGAGAUGCUGACGGCCGCCUGCCAGAUGUUCCUGGGCAAGUCGGAGAGCGAGAUCGCCCAGAUCGCCCUCGAGACCCUCGAGGGCCACCAGCGCGCCAUCAUGGCCCACAUGACCGUGGAGGAGAUCUACAAGGACCGGCAGAAGUUCUCGGAGCAGGUUUUCAACGUGGCCUCGUCCGACCUCGUCAACAUGGGGAUCAGCGUGGUCAGCUACACCCUGAAGGACAUCCACGAUGACCAGGACUACCUGCACUCGCUGGGGAAGGGUCGCACGGCGCAGGUGCAGCGCGACGCCCGCAUCGGGGAGGCCGAGGCCAAGCGGGACGCCGGCAUCCGCGAGGCGCGGGCGCGCCAGGAGCAGGUUUCGGCGCAGCUGCUGAGCGAGACGGCGAUGGCGCAGGCGCAGCGCGACUUCCAGGUGCAGCAGGCGCUGUGCGACGCCGCCGUCAACGCUCGCAAGGCCCAGGCUGACCUGGCCUACCAGCUGCAGGUGGCGAGGACGAAGCAGCAGAUCGAGGAGCAGCGGGCGCAGGUGCUGGUGGUGGAGCGGGCGCAGCAGGCGCAGCUGCAGGAGCACGAGAUCGGCCGCCGCGAGCGCGAGCUGGAGGCCACCGUCCGCAAACCCGCCGAGGCCGAGCGCUACCGCCUCGAGCGCCUGGCUGAAGCCGAGCGGUUGAAGAUGAUGAUGCAGGCGGAGGCUGAGGCCGAGGCCAUGAGGGUGACGGGGGCGGCGCGGGCGGCGGCGGUGGCCGCCCGGGCGCGGGCGGAGGCGGCGCAGACGGCGGCGAAGGCCGAGGCUUUCGGGCAGUACCAGGAGGCCGCCGUCGUCGACAUGGUGCUGCAGCGGCUCCCCCAGGUGGCGGAGGCGGUGGCGCGGCCGCUGCUGGAGACGCGGCGAGUGACGUUGGUGGCCGGCGGCGCCGGUGACAUCGGGGUGUCGCGGCUCCCCGGGGAGAUCCUGGACGUCGUCACCCGCCUGCCCGGGGCCGUCGAGGCCCUCACGGGUGUCAGCGUCACCCAGGCGACCCAGAAGUCCAAAUGCAAGGCUUGAGCUGGUGCCACCAUGUCCCCAAAGUGCCACCGCGUCCCCAAGUGCCACCGCGUCCCCAAGUGCCACCGCGUCCCCAAAGUGCCACCAACUCCGCCCCCCCCCCCCGCCCAGGUGACACCGUCCCCUCCACCCCCCCCCCGGGGCUGGCAUGUCCCCAAACGUGUCUUUUUUGUCCCCAAAUCAUUAAAGCUGCUGCGUCUGCACGGGG